rnacentral:misc_RNA from 1 species
GAUGAAGAACGUAGCGAAAUGCGAUAAGUAGUGUGAAUUGCAGAUUUCAGUGAAUCAUCGAAUCUUUGAACGCACAUUGCGCCCUUUGGUAUUCCAAAGGGCAUGCCUGUUCGAGCGUCAUUUGUACCCUCAAGCUUUGCUUGGUGUUGGGCGUCUUGUCUCUAGCUUUGCUGGAGACUCGCCUUAAAGUAAUUGGCAGCCGGCCUACUGGUUUCGGAGCGCAGCACAAGUCGCACUCUCUAUCAGCAAAGGUCUAGCAUCCAUUAAGCCUUUUUUUCAACUUUUGACCUCGGAUCAGGUAGGGAUACCCGCUGAACUUAAGCAUAUCAAUAAGCGGAGGA